UACGGAGGAUGCGAGCGUUAUCCGGAUUUAUUGGGUUUAAAGGGUGCGUAGGCGGGAUGCCAAGUCAGCGGUCAAAUACGGGGGCUCAACCUGCGUCCGCCGUUGAAACUGGCGUUCUUGAGUGGGCGAGAAGUACGCGGAAUGCGUGGUGUAGCGGUGAAAUGCAUAGAUAUCACGCAGAACCCCGAUUGCGAAGGCAGCGUACCGGCGCCCAACUGACGCUGAGGCACGAAAGCGUGGGGAUCAAACAGG
rnacentral:rRNA from 1 species